rnacentral:rRNA from 1 species
AAACCAGCAUCUCAAGUGGUCAGGAUGAUUAUUGGGCCUAAAGCAUCCGUAGCCGGCUCUGUAAGUUUUCGGUUAAAUCUGUACGCUCAACGUACAGGCUGCUGGGAAUACUGCAGAGCUAGGGAGUGGGAGAGGUAGACGGUACUCGGGAGGAAGUGGUAAAAUGCUUUGAUCUCUCGAUGACCACCUGUGGCGAAGGCGGUCUACCAGAACACGUCCGACGGUGAGGGAUGAAAGCUGGGGGAGCAAACCGGAUUAGAAACCCGGGUAGUCC